UGACAACUAAGUGUCCACUAUGUGGUUUACAUUAUAAAUAUUUAGUGCAGUUUCGAAAAGAUAUAAUUAGAUAUUACUUUGUCCAGAGUAUAAAAAGGGGAUUAAAAUAAAUGUGACUAUAAAUAUUUGCAGUUUUAUUUCACAUCAUGUAAAAAUUCUAUUGAUUUGACAGAUAAAUAUCAUUUAAAAAAAGUUCUAGAGAUUUUAUCCAAUGUUCCCAUCAAACACUUCAUUUAAUUCUAAACACACACACAAGCAAACAACAACACAACCAGUUUAAUAUAUUAUUAUUAAAUAAAACAUUUUAUCGAUAUUUCAAAUCAUUGCUCAUCUCUAAUAUAAAAUUUAAAAAAUAAAACCAGUAUCACAGGUUCAACGAUCUCAGAGAGAAUCGAGAACCAGAUACCUGCAGAUAUAAUCUCAGAUCGACCUCGCCUCUGCCGACCAGUUGCUUGUAAAAGACGGUUAGAUGGUUUGGUUGUAAAUUUCGCACCCAUUGCAAUAAAAUUAAGGAUAUUUUGAUAAACAUUAUUUGUGUUAGUUAAAGUUAAUAUCUAUAGUUUUGAACUAAAAUAUCAACAUGUUCAAUUGUACAUCUUGUGUUAAAUCUUUUAAUCGUAAAGAUAAUCUAUUACGCCAUAUGAGGACUGCCUGUAGCAAGUCAAGUUUUUUCAACCGAUGGUUUGGAAAGUCUGCUGAAAAAAGGAGAGAUUUUUGUAAAAAAAUCGGGAAUCGCAUGACAAAAUAUCGAUUUUCUGCAGAAUCGAUUUAAAUCGAACAUCCAUAGUCAAGAACCUACUAUAAAAGAACUUGCUUUUACCGCAGACUGCAACAAUAUUUCAAACGUGCAAGGUGUGUUUGACUUUGUUUCCAACUGUUUACAGAAUUAAAUUGAAAGAUGUUCACAUGUACAUCUUGUCAAAAAUCCUUUACUCGUAAAGACAACCUAUCUCACCACUUAAAGAAUACGUGCAAGAAGUCU